UAUCGUAGGCGGUUUGGUAAGUGUGUAGUGAAAUCCUUGGGCUCAACCCAAGCAUUGCUAUGCAUACUGCCAGACUAGAGAGUAUCAGAGGAUGCUGGAAUUUUCGGUGGAGCGGUGAAAUGCGUUGAUAUCGAAAAGAACACCAAGGGCGAAGGCAGGCAUCUGGGAUAUUUCCGACGCUGAUGAACGAAGCUAGGGGAGCGAAAG
rnacentral:rRNA from 1 species